rnacentral:tRNA from 1 species
GCGGGGUGGGCAAGACCACCCAUGCCGCCAGCCUGGCCUGCCGGCUGGCGGCGCUGGGCCGCAAGGUGCUGGUGGUCUCCACCGAUCCCGCUC